GUUGGUGAACCAGCGGAGGGAUCAUUAUUGAGUUACAAACUCUCAACCCUUUGUGAACAUACCGUAUCGUUGCUUCGGUGGGCAGCCCCAGGGCGGGGCUUCCAGCCUUCACAGGUGCCUGCCGGAGGUAUAUAACACUCUGUUUUAACAUCGUUUCUUCUGAAUGUAAAAAAAAAUGAAUCAAAACUUUUAACAACGGAUCUCUUGGUUCUGGCAUCGAUGAAGAACGCAGCAUCUGACUGACUUCAGU
rnacentral:misc_RNA from 1 species